CUGGUUGAUCCUGCCAGAGGCUACUGCUAUCGGGGUCCGACUAAGCCAUGCGAGUUGAGAGGGGUAAGCCCUCGGCAUAUUGCUCAGUAACACGCGGAUAACCUGCCCUUGGGUCCGGGAUAACCCCGGGAAACUGGGACUAAUACCGGAUAGAUCAAGGAUACUGGAAUGUUCUCUGGUCCAAAACUCCGGUGCCCAAAGAUGGGUCUGCGGCCUAUCAGGUAGUAGUGGGUGUAACGUACCUACUAGCCUACGACGGGUAAGGGUUGUGAGAGCAAGAGCCCUGAGAUGGAUUCUGAGACAUGAAUCCAGGCCCUACGGGGUGCAGCAGGCGCGAAAACUUUACACUGCGGGAAACCGCGAUAAGGGGACCCCGAGUGCCAGUACCUAGUGCUGGCUGUCCCGCUGUCCAAACAACAGUGGUUAGCAAGGGCCGGGCAAGACCGGUGCCAGCCGCCGCGGUAACACCGGCGGCCCGAGUGGUAGCCGUUAUUAUUGGGUUUAAAGGGUCCGUAGCCGGCUUAUUAAGUCUCUUGGGAAAUCUGGCGACUUAAUCGUCAGGCGUCCAAGAGAUACUGAUAGGCUUGGGACCGGGAGAGGUGGGAGGUACUCCAGGGGUAGGGGUGAAAUCUCGUAAUCCUUGGGGGACCACCGAUGGCGAAGGCAUCCCACCAGAACGGGUCCGACGGUGAGGGAUGAAAGCUGGGGGAGCAAACCGGAUUAGAUACCCGGGUAGUCCCAGCUGUAAACUAUGCAAACUCAGUGAUGCAUUGGCUUGUGGCCAAUGCAGUGCUGCAGGGAAGCCGUUAAGUUUGCCGCCUGGGAAGUACGUACGCAAGUAUGAAACUUAAAGGAAUUGGCGGGGGAGCACCACAAGGGGUGAAGCCUGCGGUUCAAUUGGAGUCAACGCCGGG
rnacentral:rRNA from 1 species